rnacentral:rRNA from 1 species
AUGAAUCUUGUGGUUGCAAAAUGGGCAUCCAUAGCCGUCAUUCUAGGUCCUAAUAUGCCUGUUAUGCAUUCCUGCAUAAAGCUCCCUCAGGAUUCGCCUCUUGUACCUCCUCUGGGCAUCUUCAUCCUCGCUGUCCACAUCGCACUCAAGCAGCGGGCUAGAGUGUGCGGGCAUGUCUCAUCCACCGGCUACGACAUCGAGGUCAUCGACAGCGACGCCCUGAGGCGGGUUGUGUCACAGGUUAAGUGGCCCACCCCCAACCCCUCGGGUUCAACCGCCGUCGAUCUCAUCCAUGGCCCCGCCGCUGAUCUCCUCUGGCUCGCUGUCAACAAUUUGCCAUUCUACAUCGCCAUCGAGCCCCUUUUGUCAUUUCUGAAGGACACGUUCUGCGACACUGGCUUGGGAUCAACAGCUUCCAAGUCAGACCUCAUCGACGGCGACCAUGAGGAGGGCACCCUCUACGGCUCUUCCAAGGGGAAAGAGCCCAUCUGCUCUUCCAAGGGGAAAGCGCCCGUCUGCGACAUCAGGGAGGGCACCCUGCAGCCAUGCUCUUCCAAGGGGAAGGAGCCCAUCUGCGACAACAUGGAGCGCAUCCAGGGUCCGUGCUCUUCCCACGGGAACGAGCCCAUCUGUGACAACUUCAAAACAACGGUGCCAAACCUCUCUCACGUAGGCACACUGGGCGAGGAUGUGAUCAAUGUUAUCCUCCUCCUGCAAACAGGUGAAGCAUGCAAACAGGUCUCCGCGGAUCUGGCGCACAUCCGCAAGCAACUGGACCUCACCCAAGCAGACAUCGACGAGGUUCGCCAGCAGCAGCGCGAACUUCCGCCUUCGCCGCCCGCAGCGGAGCGCCGCCGACCGAACACCGCCGACCACCACGACGGCGACACCCAGGCCUCGUUGGUGACGUUGCUUGAGCACGCCCGCGGAUCUCGCCCUCAAGGUCCAGCCGUCCGCCUCGCCAACAACGGCCCUCCUCUGUUGCCCACGCGGCACACCAUGCCGUACGGGGGCGAGGAACAGACCGCCGCGUUCAUGGCGGGCCGCGAUGCGCACACCGGGCAGCGCGAGGAGUACACAUUCAAGCCGCCGAAGCACGACUUCCCACACUUCGACGGCGACGCGCCUAGCCUCUGGAUCGACCGCUGCAUCACCUACUUCGACCUGUACCGCAUUCCCCUGCACAGCUGGGUGACCACGGCUUUGCUCUACAUCGACGGCCACGCCGCACACUGGUACCAGGCGUACCGGCAGACACAUCGCUCGCCGACGUGGGAGGAGUUCGCCGCGGCCAUCAUCAGCGAAUUCGCAUCGGAUGAAUUCGAGAUGGAGAUGCAUAAGUUGCUGCAACUUCGCCGAACCAGCACCGUCGCCGAGUACAAGACGGCGUUCGAGACACACAUGUACCACCUGCUCACCCUGGAUGCGUCGCUCAACCCCAAGUUGUUCGUCACACAGUUCCUGCUGGGUUUGCGCGACGAUUUGCGGGCUGCGGUCCGCCUCCAAGAGCCGUCAAGCAUCACGCGCGCAGCAGUGUUGGCCCGGAUCGUGGAAGAAGAGGCCGGCAUGCAACGUGCUCGACCACAGAUCAUUCCGGCAGGGCAACCUCCACCACCCCACCACCACUGCCGCUUCCUGCCCGAGCUGUGGGAGUGCCCAGGCCGGGCGGCGGCCCCCAACGACGACCUGGCGCGCGAACGGCAACUGCGUGAGCAUCGCCGCGCCAACGGACUCUGCUUCAAAUGCGGCGACCGCUACUCCGGCGACUAUCGAUGCAAGCCGGCCACACAACUGCUCACAAUUCAAGUAGGCGACUAUGGGGAAGUGAUUACUGAUGACGCGGUGCACGCCCUGGACUUGCUCGACGCCCCAGUGGAUCAGGACCCCGCGCCCGAAUGUUGCGUGCUCUCCACCCAUGCGGUCGCCGGUACCGAGUCACCGCGCACCAUUCGUGUGCGCGCGCUCGUCGACAAUCAAGUCAUGUUGCUUUUGGUGGAUUCAGAAAGCACGCACAGCUUCGUCUCCAAGGCGCUCGCCGCGCGCGUGCACGCUCCAACCGUUCCAGUGCCCACAGUGGAGGUUCGCGUGGCCAACGGCGAGCGCAUGACCUGCAACAGCAUGGUGCAAGGUCUGAACUGGUGGAUUCAGGGCCACACCUUCACCACCGAUAUGCGGCAACUGGAGUUGGGUGCUUACGACGGCGUGCUCGGUAUGGACUGGUUGGAGCAGUUCAGUCCGAUGAGUUGCCACUGGCUCGAUAAGACGCUGACCUUCGAGCACCAUAGCGCCAUGAUCACCCUGCAAGGUGUUCGACCGAAGCAGCAUGAGCAGGUGGAGGAGAUCGAGCCAGAGCAAUUGCGCAAAUGGCAAGCCGGCAACAACAUUUGCUGCCCCGACCACCCGAUCUUGCCGGCCACGACGACGAACCCGUGGAGAUUGUCGAGCGCCGCAUGGUCAAGCGGGGAGCCAGUGCUCUGGUGCAAGUCAAGGUGCGAUGGCGCAGCGGCGAGGCAGCGACUACUUGGGAGGACUACGACACACUCCGCCGCCGUUUUCCUCAAGCAGCAGCCUGGGACGCGCCGGCGGCUGGAGAUGGCGACGCUUCUGAAGAUGGCGCUCGUUCUGAAGAAGAGGGGAAUGUCACACCGGCAUCACCAGGACCUGAUGCGGUGGAUGUGUGAUUCGGUGGGCCCCGUUGCCUACUGGCACGGACCCACCUGUAAGGCGAGUUGCCAAGUGUGGCCUGGCUAUAGAGCCAGUAGAUGUGCGUGUGUGGAAAAUUAUGUCAAGACUCUGAACCUCUCACCUAAUCUGUACCUCCUCCUUGGAAAGAAUUCCCCCUUCUCCAAGUCUCGAUCUCAUCCCCUUCCCUUCUUCGAUCCCCUUCGCUAG